UACGUAGGGUGCGAGCGUUAAUCGGAGUUACUGGGCGUAAAGGGCGCGUAGGCGGUCGUGACAAGUCACUUGUGAAAUCUCCGGGCUUAACUCGGAACGGUCAAGUGAUACUGUCGGACUAGAGUACAGAAGGGGCAACUGGAAUUCUCGGUGUAGCGGUGAAAUGCGCAGAUAUCAGGAAGAACACCCGUGGCGAAGGCGGCUCUCUGGGACGGUACUGACGCUGAGACGCGAAAGCGUGGGGAGCGAACAGG
rnacentral:rRNA from 1 species